GCUAAAAUAGCUCAUUUGGGAGAUUGUUAGACUGAAGAUCUAAAGGUCCCUGGUUCGAUCCCGGGUUUCGGCA